rnacentral:rRNA from 1 species
UGCAGUCGAGCGAAGCAGUUUUAAGGAAGUUUUCGGAUGGAAUUAAAAUUGACUGAGCGGCGGACGGGUGAGUAACGCGUGGGUAACCUGCCUCAUACAGGGGGAUAACAGUUGGAAACGACUGCUAAUACCGCAUAAGCGCACAGUGCUGCAUGGCACGGUGUGAAAAACUCCGGUGGUAUGAGAUGGACCCGCGUCUGAUUAGGUAGUUGGUGGGGUAACGGCCCACCAAGCCGACGAUCAGUAGCCGACCUGAGAGGGUGACCGGCCACAUUGGGACUGAGACACGGCCCAAACUCCUACGGGAGGCAGCAGUGGGGAAUAUUGGACAAUGGGGGAAACCCUGAUCCAGCGACGCCGCGUGACUGAAGAAGUAUUUCGGUAUGUAGAGGUCUAUCAGCAGGGAAGAAAAUGACGGUACCUGACUAAGAAGCCCCGGCUAACUACGUGCCAGCA